rnacentral:lncRNA from 1 species
AACAAAGUGUUUGAAAUUGAAUUAAGGACAUUUGUAAAAACAGCUUCACCAAUAUCAAAAACCUCACCUUUGUUACUUUUUUCAUUCACAUAAUCUAAUAAUUCUUGCAACUUUUGUUGGCGAAGGUUUCUUGUUGAGUCAAGCAUUUUUGUAGAAAAUACUUUUGUAGCACAACUUUUCCUUAGUUUCUUCCACAAAUUUAAUGUUGGAACCCACCCAACUGAGAAUUUGUCAUGAUCAACUGCAGAGAUUGCAUGUGGGACAGUUCUAUUUGAAAAGAUUUGAGAAUUGUCAUGUAAAACUUGUUUGGCUACUUGUGGGGAAGAGAUCACUAUGGUUGUUAUGCUUCCUAGUUUUAAUGUCAUGAUUGGUCCAUAGAUUUUUGAGAGUUUUGUUAAUGCCUUGUGUGGAUUUUUGCCAAGUUCUAAGAUGUUUCCAAUGAUGGGAAGUGGCUUUGGCCCUGGUGGAAGUUUAGUAGAAUUUUGGGUUUGGUUUGAUUUUCUAAGAAUGAAGAUGAGAAUGGUUGCACUUACAAAGGAAAUCACUAGUAGAAGUGUUUGAUGGUCCAUGACUUAUUGCUUAUGCUUUUCCUUUUUGUGAUAUAUAUAUAUAUAUAUUCAAUCCGGUGUGUGUAACUUAUGGUAAUCUUUGGAAGCAUAAAAGUAACAACGAUCUAUAACCUUCGAGAGAUUGGGAUAUCACGUCUCGACUAAAAUCUUAAAACAUUAAAAAUUUACACUUCUGAUCACUAUUGUAAGCAAAAAUUAACAUUUUAGAUUCAUUCAAUAAAUUAUGUAUAUGGUCAUAAUAAAGACUAUAUAUAUCAUUAAUUGAAUAAAUCUAAAAUGUAGAAUUUUAUUUAUGAUAGUGAUCGGAGGGUGUAGAUCACAACUUUUAUAUCAGAAAUUGAACUACUUAUUUAGUCACAUUUAAGCACACGUUUAGACUACACAAUUAGAAGAUUUUCAAUACAAUGAUCUACUCCCUCUCUUAUCAAUUAUAAACAAAUUUCACUUUUUAAGUUCAUUUAAUUAGUGAUGUAUAUGAUCGAGAGUAAUAUACACAAGGACCUGAUACACGAAGGUUCACCACCACUCCAACAUAAAUUAACGCAUAAAAGCAAUUGUUAAAGCAUGAGGCAAGUACAAGUGCUUGGACUUUAGUGUUGAUGCAAUUAAUGUAGAGGAAUUCUGGGCAUUCUUUACUGUAGUAGUAUUAGUUACGUCUUAUCUAAAAAAACAAAAUUGAACAGGCUAAAGAUAAACACAUCGAAAUAAGUAGGCACAAGAAAUGUCAAAAGGGUUUAUCCUUUCACAUGUUUUUUUUUUAAAAAACUAGACUCUUGACCCCGCGCUGUCGCGCGGGUCUGUUAUAGUUUAUUGAGCAAUAUAUUUUGAUUACAAUCAACUCAAGCAAAUUGAAAAAUAAGUCAUUCUAGAAUAUCAUGUAUCAUUGAUCAAUGUGACAUACAUGAAUUUUUUUUAUAAGAUGUGGACAUAGCUAUCUUCCACUUCAUCAUCGAUAAUCAAUAUCUUAAAAGUUUUUCCUUGAUGUAACUCUUGACAAUGCAACAUAUAGCUACCCAUGUCAAAAAAUUGGUUGAGGCAAAUACAUACCUUUGGUUGCCAUGGAUGCGCUUAAAAAGAGCUCAAGAUAUCAAAUGUUUUCUACUAAACUUUUGUAUGCAGGUGAGCUAACUUGAGACAAUGGCCAAACAAACCAAAUGGUAUCACCAAUUUAUAGGAAUAACAUGAGGUUCUUAGUUGGCGUGAACAUAACAUUCAGAAACACAAAAAAACCAAGAAUUAAAUUAUGUCUCCUAGUUGUAGGUUCCAAAGGUGUGCAACUAAACACUUCUAGAGUCCCGCGUCUUGCACAUUUUUUCAUGUUUGCAUUUAUUAUUGGCAUGACUUUAAGUAGCAAAAAACGUGCAUAAUUAAAUUGGUGAAGACAAUGUUAAGUAGUAAUUAGUUGCUCAUUAAUGUGAUGAUUUAGGAGGAAAAUGAUUUCAUAUUGAAGGUUAAAUUUAUCAUUUUAGGAUGUUAGGGCUGCAUUAGGGUUAGGGAUUUAGGGAAAUCAGACCACCUUAGAUUUAUAGUAAGUAAGAUGCUAACAUGUGCCUUAAGGCACAUGUUGAUCUAUUAAACAUAAAAAAUUUGUAUUGUAAAUUGUGUUAAUUUAAUUUGCAAAAAGGUAAACACUUUAUGUGAAUUAAUUUUUUUAAAUAAGUACUUAUAUUUUUCAGAAUCAUUAACAUAUGCUUCCGUAAGAAAAAAAAAACAUAUGUCCUAAGCGCACAAUUAACAAAACUUUUUCUUUUUAUCAAUUUGUCCUUUCACGUGUUAGCAACUAAAACUAGCAAGUUUUUAUUAAAAACAGCGAUUUUUUAUUAAAAAAUUAUAUAUUAAAUAUAAAAUGUAUAAGUUCUAAUAUAAAAUUAUUAUUUUAAAUUUUUUAACAUGUGUAAAUUUACACAUGAUAGAAAACACACAUCACUUGAUACAAAAAAAACACAUAUAAAAAAUGCUAAAAUUGUUAUUUUUACUUGAUAGUUAAUAUUUUAUAUAGAUUUUUUUAACUCGCUUUGAAUAAAUCUGUUAAAAAUAUAUUUUUAAAGAAACUUUGAUUACGAAUGAAUCAUUUGCUACAAAAAUACAAGAUAAAACACAUUUAAAUAAUUUUUUGAAAGAUAAAACACAUUCAAAACACAUUUAAAUAAUAAAAAUGCAUGUCACCGUGAGCUUAAUUCAGUUGAUAAGAACAAUGCAUAAUAUAUCAGAGAUACCAAAAUACGUCUUCUUUAAUGACCCAUUCAAAUCCUUUGCUAGUUGAGAUUUUUUUAUUGGCAGACUUCGGUACCAGACACGACUUUUGUGUUUUGAGUGUUCAUGACAAUUUAUUUUAUAAGGAUUAGAGUCAUAGAACAGCUCUUUCCGGUGUUAUCAUGUCCAAGAGAAAAAAAAAUUAUAAACUUUCAAUCAUUUUAUAUUGAAUAACAACAAAAUCCUUUGUAUUUGUAAUAAAAGCCAAAAUACAGUGGGACAUGGGGAGCCUCUUAAAAAUUGUACAUUGCUAAUAAGUCGUUAUAUGACAAUAUAAGAUACCAAGUUGUCGACUCUCUCAUCUUAAAAAAGUCGUUUGAAAACAAAAAGUUUAGAGUGGCAAAAAUUGAAAGGAAAAUUUUAAAGGGACUAAAACUGAAAUAUAGUAUAUUUAAAGAGACUAAAAAAUAUUAGAAAAUGUUAACGAGUGUCAUAAGGGCACUCUUUAAGAGUUUAAAAUAGUAAGAUUUUAUAAAAAUGUGUGCAUUUAAUGCAUUGAAAAUUGAAUUGUUUAACUUUUUAAAUAAAUGCAUUGGAAUAAUUUUUUAAUUUGGAAUCCUUAAAGAGUGCCCUAAGGACACUCGUUAACGAGACUCAAAAAUAUUUAGUCCGGAAUAUUUUCUUUUUUAAAAUAAUAUUUAGACAUAAAGAUAAAAAUUGUAAAGUUUCUUCACCAACUUUUUUUUUUUUUUUUUUUUGUGUAUGUUGAUGUUGGAAGAAGAAAAGAAUAUUAAAACUACAUUUUAAAUGUUAACACCAACUUGUAACCAAAAAAAAAUGUUAACAUCUAUUUUCAAUAAUAACUAUCGAUGAUAUUUUCAUUGCCUCUUACAUUUUUACUAGACCAAUAAUAAGGGCAAAUAAUUGAUUGACACAUUCAAUGGGGGAUCAAACAUUCAAAAAAAUACAUUUUUUUAUAAAAAAAAAAAAGUUAUGUUAACUUGUGUUUUAAGGACACAUGUUAAACAAUCCAAAAACAGCAAUUUUGCAUUGGAAAACAUAAUAUAUUAAGUUUUAAUAAGUUGAAUGGACGAUUUUUCUCAUGUUUUUAUAUACAAAUGUAAUUGGUACUCCCUCCGUUUCUAAAUAUAAGCAAAAUUGAAUUUUUAUGUUCAUUCAUUUAAUGAUGUAUGUGGUUCAUAUUAUGGAUCACAUAUAUCAUUAAAUGAAUGAACAUAAAAAUUCAAUUUUGCUUAUAUUUAGAAACGGAUGGAGUACCAAUUACAUUUGUAUAUAAAAACAUGAGAAAAUACUAACUUGUGUCUAAGAGUACAAGUUAAGAAAUCAAAAGUAGAAAUAAAAUCUUUAAAAUUGUGUAUUUUUAAUUUUGAAAACAUUAAAUUUUAUUUUUUUAACUUGUACGUUUGUUGAUUAAUUUCUUUUUUAACAUUUUAACCUUCAUCCUUAAGACACAAGUUAAGGCUUAAUACAUCAUUUGGUCCUUAACUUAUUUUUGGUUUUAAUUUUGGUCCCCUAACUUUAAAGUAUCUCAAUUUGGUCCCAUAAGUAUUCAUUUGUUUAUUAAUGUGGUCCUUUUUGUUAGUUUUUAAUCUUAAAUGUCUAAGGUGGACCAACUUUGUAGGUGGUCUACCAUAGACUUUAUUAAAAUUUUAAAUUUAAACCGUUUGAUCUUUUUUAUUUAAAGGAGGAUCAUUGGAUUGCGCAAGUCUAUUUUAUCUUACAGUGAGUCAACAACGGCUAACUUUAUAUCCCAUUCUUCAUCUUCUUUCGUCCUCUUAUUGAUCACUUUCAUCAAGCUUCAUAAAAAAAUCCAGAAAAAAUCAAGAGAUUCAUCAAUAGUAUCAUCAUCUCAUCACUACACCUCCACCACCAUCAACAAUAGCAACUAAACUAAUGACCAUAGAUUCAUCAACCCAUGAACAACAUAAACUUUAAUUCGUCAAAGACACCCAGAUCAGUAACACGCCCAAACCGACAAUUCCCAUUUUAAUAAUCUCAAAUGUUUUUUUUUUUUUUUAAUAAGCAAAUAAAAAGUGAAUCAUGAAAUCAAGAGGGAGAGAAAGAAUUACAAUGGAAUCAAAUUAUCAACCAAAUUAAUAAAAAAAAAUCAUUAAACAAGGAGAAAAAAUUGAAAUCAAUAAGGAGAGAAAGUGUGUAACGGCCGCAUCUUGAAACAUAUAUACAAGAUCUCAAGUAUAGAUGAUGGAUUCAGAGAUGAUUGAGUUGGAAAUAUCUAGAUUUGGAAAUCUAGAUUUGGGUACAAAUCCAAAACAUUGAGCAACUCUCAUGCGAUCCUCUUUAGAUUUUGUAUCACUCAGCUUCUCCAAUGCAAAAUGUGAUUGUGAAAACUGGUUUUAUGGGAAAAUUGGUUCAGAGUAUAAAAAUUGGUAUUGAACCGGUUUUGAACCAAACCGAACCAGAAUUCCAGAAGAAAAAAAAAACAGCUUUUUGCAGUAUGAGGUUAUAUAAACAGAACCGAACUAAAAAUUUGAUUUCAAUUUGGUUUAGUUCUUAAACUUGCACAUCGUAGAGAUAAUGAUGAUAGUUUUGUUAUUGAUUGUUGUUGACGAUUUAUGGAAUUUUCUGGGUUUUGUAUAAAGAUUGAUGAAGUUGAUGUUGAAGAUAAUGAAAAAGAGGAAUGAAGAAGAUGAAGAUAUGAGGAAGGAGAAGAGAGAAGAUGAAAAAUGAAAAAAAUUAGGUGCCGACGGUUCACUAUUAAAUAUAAUGGACAUGCAAUCAAAUGGUUAAAAUCAUAUUAAAAAAUUUAGACAUUAAAAAACUAACGGAGAGGACCACAAUAGUAAACGGAGGAAGACUUAUAGAACCAAAUUGAGACACUUUAUAGUCAGGAGACCAAAAUAAAACCAAAAAUAAAUUAAGGGAUCAAAUAAUGUAUUAAGCCCACAAAUUAACAUGACCCAAGAAGAUGUUCCUAUUUGUAGCCACUUACCGAUUCUUAUCAUAAGAAUCCCCAAAGACAUUAAUUUCUGAUGUAAAUGAAUAAAAAUUUGUACGAAUAAAAUUAGUUUUUGAUAUUGUCCUUGGUGCAUAUAAGAACCACUAUUAUUUAUAGGUAAAUUCUAUCGUACAUCCAAUAAUUUGAGUGUAUUGGUACACCAAAUCCUUAAAUUAAUAGUUAAAUGAGUUAUUUUUUGUAGGAAAAAAAUAUUUUCCAUCACCUAUAAUUAUAAUAACUAAAUCUUUUUUUUGAACAAGCCAAAAUGGAAUUAUAUACGAAUAGGGUAGUUCCCAACGCACAAGGUGUGCCUUAGAGACUACCACAGAAACCAAGAGUUACAACGGUUACAAACAAAAAACAACAGAAAAACAUUAGCCAAUACCCAAACAAACAAGAGGGUUUGACCGCCACUGCUGAGUCCCAAAAACAAAUAUAGCUUUUUUAGCUUUCAACCAACCUAGAGACAGCAGCUUAAUCUUAUCUAGUAAACAAGGGAUGGGGGUAACAACAUGAUUAAACAUUCGGUUAUUACGUUCAUUCCAAACAACCCAAGCACAAAGAAGCCAAAUAAGUUGCAUAAAAGAACGUCUAGCAGCACCACCACCUAUCAAAUGAGUGAACUAAAUCUUAUUUACAAAAAACGUCAACACAAUAAAAUUCGAUUUUUCUGAAUUCAUAUUACUCAUAAUAGAGAAUUUUGAUUAUUUUUUACAAUAAAAUAUAGAAAAAUUUAGUAUGAUUUUUCUAAAAAAUGAAAUGAUGUUCUUUUUCAUAAAAUGAUAUUUUCUAAAAUAUAUAUGUCAACAAACACCAAUUUUCUUUCAUAAAAAAUGAUAGUUAAUUUAUAAAAAUUGUAAGCGAGAGGACCGGUACAGCUUAAUUUGCGGGUGUACCGUAGAAGUUCCCUUAAUUAUAACCAAUAUAAAAUGAGAUAAUUGUUUAUAUAAUAAUAUUCUCUUCGAGUUUCUCUUUGAACUUAUCAAUGUCCUUUAUAUAUAGAAGAUCAAACUUUUUUUUUUCUCUUUCAACUUAUCAAUGUCCUUUUUAUAUAUAGAAGAUCAAACUUUUUUUUUUGGACAAAAUAUAGAAGAUCAAACUUUAUUUUCCCACACAACAAAGAAUAAAGCAUUGUAAUUUCAAAUAAAAGAAUAAAAAAUAAUAAAAAUGUCAGUUGAACAAUCAAAUAUAUUUGGGUCCAUUAAAAUCAACUCUAUACAAAAAGGUAGCUUUUUAUUUUGUAAAUCUUUUUUUAAGCCAAAUUAAUCAACCAAAAUUAAUACAAAAUAACUGAAUCUGAAACAUCAAGAGUGGCACACUCCAAAGUCUCAGAUAAACUUAUUUUUAAAAAUCUUUAACAACUUACAAUGCACAACCCUUACACAUUCAUUAAAAUUGAGUUGAGUUGUAAAAGAACUAAUUCUAGAAUCAAAAGCUAUAAAUAGUAGUAUAUUAAAGUAUAAUUAAUUGCUUUUAGUCUUUAUAAUUGAUAUCUCAAAAAAAUGGUAAACAUGAUUUUAUAGAGUUAGAAUUGCUUCUCACACUUGAAAAACAAUUCUAAAACAUUCAAACAUGAAACCAAUAGAUAGAGACUUAGAAGAGAAUUGAGGAGGAAAAAAAAAAUGAGACGAUCAAAUUUCUUAACAUUUUUAGAGGUUUUGGAAACGACACUACGGCAACCAUAGUCGCAAUUGCAUCGACAAUAAUUGUCUACACAUUAUUACAACAUAGACGUUUUCACCAUAACUGCAACCUCAACCACAUUUUAAACCAUGGUGGUGACAAACAAAUAUUAAUUACACUCAAAAUUAUUCUUAAAACAUAUCCACCUAUGUUGAAGAAGUAGCUUGAACUCGAAGAGUUUGAAUCCUCCUUAAGGUUAGCCCAAAUUGUUCGUCCAUAUUCAUGUCUUCUGGCUUUAGCCCAUCAGCAAGUUUCCAAUCAAAGUUGCAUAGAAGGGAUGCCACAAUUAAGUGCACAUUCCUAUGAGCUAAUGGCAAUCCCGGACAAAUUCUUUUACCUGCCCCAAAAGGUAUGAGCUCAAAAUUAUUACCCUUAUAAUUAAUGUCACAUUCCAAAAAUCUUUCAGGCUUGAACAUAUUUGAAUUUUCCCAUAUGGUUGGAUCUCUUCCCAUGGCCCAUAAAUUGACUAGUAUUUGUGCAUUUUUUGGCACAUUGAAGCCUGAUAUGUUCACAUUUUCAUCACAUUUGCGGGGUAUCGAUAAUGGAGCUGGUGGGUGCAAUCGAAGGGUUUCCUUCACAACUGCUUGUAAGUAAGGUAACUUGGAAAUAUUUGAUUCUUCUAUUGCUUCAUCUUUUCCCAUUACUUGACAUAAUUCUUUUCUUGCUUUAUCUAGUUUGCCAGGGUUACGUAAUAGCUCUGCCAUAGUCCAUUCAAUCGUGUUUGAUGUUGUGUCAAUCCCAGCAAAAAAUAAAUCCUGCCAAAAUAUAAUUUCCAAAUUAAUUUAAAAUUUAACCUAUAUAUCGGUAAAAAGUGUGGAAUAUUAAAUACUAAACCAUAUCUCAAAAAAAAAAUAUAAUUACUAAAUCAUGCAGUGAAAAUACGGAGGUGGAAAAAUGGAAUAGAGUUUAUUUACUGAUUUAAAUGCAUAUUAAUAUUAAAUAUUUUUUAAGGAAAUAUUAAAUUUAUUUUAAGCCCCUGUAAAAUUUUAAAAUUUCAUUGUUUUUCCCAUAUAACUUUUUUUACUUUUAAUCCCAUAAAUUUUUUCAAUAAGCCAUUUUUGUUCCUGUUAUUAAGUCGAUCAACUUCCCUCAAAAAUAAUUAAGUCGAUCAACUUGUGUGUAUUGUUCAAAUUUUUUACACACAUGUUUAUUUGUUUAAUUUUUUGAGAGGUACACACAUGUUUAUAACAUCAUAAACAUCCCUCUCACAAAAAUUUAAACAUUUUUUUACUAUAGAUGAAUUAAAUAUAAAUUUUUGAGGUCAAAAUAACAAAAGUACCGAUAUAAAAUUCAAAUUUUAAACGAGAACGUUUGGUAAGACUUCUAUUGUAACACAUGCAGUUAUCUACAAUGCUUGGUAGCAUUCCGAUAAGUUCUCAAUUCAUUUUGAUUUUAUUGGCAGUGGGAAGCCAUAAUAGGGCUUGGAUGGGCCACGACCUUCUCCAUCAAAGAGCAAAAUACACACCGAGAGACUAAUCUCAGAUCAUGGGGACUUUAAGGACAGUUAAUUAUAAAAAUGAAAUAUUCUAAUGUUUUGUGACUGAAAUGUCAACGCAUUUGUAAAAAUUUGACGAUGUAAUCUUAAAGAGAUAAAGUUAAAACCUCAUCUGCUAAAAAAAAAUAAAAAAAUCUCAAGAUCAUGAAUGAUUGAUAGCAAAGAAUAUAUAAUUAAUAUUUUUGUCUUAGAGUAACUGCCGUAUUUAAAAAAACAAUUGUUAGAUUCAUUUUUCAAUGUAGUUUGUGUUUUUUUAUUAGUAUGGAUCCUGCCACAGUGCCACCGUCGUCGUUAUUUUGUUAAUUAAGUUGUUAUUCUUAACAGUUGGGUUUGUUUAUGAGAUUCAACGGAAGUUUGUAGUUUUCUUUUUUUUUUUCUUCACAAAUUCGUGUUUACGGUCACUCUUCGUUCCCUGGUCUUCAAGGAUGUGAGUUUUUGGGUUAUGUUGUGUGAUGUUUGUGCUCGAUCUGGUGUUUUAAACGCCGUGACAGUUUUGGUGGUCGUGAUGCUGCCGGCGAUUUGGGUAAUAGACUAGAUAUGAUUGUGGCUAAAAAUGGUCGUGAGAUUUCUGUUGUUUAGUAUUGUUUGAUAAUAUUCCUAAAAUAAAAUAAAAAAAGUAUUGUUUGGUAGUAGAUCGCAUGUGUUUUGAAUUUGUUACAAUAUUGACGCUCGAAUCCACUCCUCAUAAUGAAGAUCUGGAUCUGAUGCACAGGUCACCCACCUUUUUUUUUUUUUUUUGCAAUUUGAUUUCACAUUUAUGUGCGCAUAUAUGGUGGGAUUUGUGGCUUAUAUAUAUCCUCUUGGUUAUUUUGUUUUAUGCUUUUGGUUGUUUUUCUUUUAUUUUAUAUUAGGUCAGAUUUUUCGUCCCCCAGUUUUUUUUACUUUGUUUAAUUUUAAUUUAAAUGUUAUAGACUCAUCUACACUCUAUUGGCGUAAAAAAAAUAAUAUGUAUGUUAUUUUCAAAGUAAUUUUCACUUUUCAUUUGUGAUAAUAAAAAUACAUCAAUAGUCAAUAAGGAUAAUUUAAUAAAUAAAAAAUCUUUUAUUUAUCAUUUUUUUUCUUAAGUUGUGUGAAAUAGUUAAAUGCGAUUAUUAUUAUUGUGAGAGAUGAAGUAUUUCAAAAAUUAUUGUAAUUCGUUGACUCUACAUUUUUUUUAAACUGAAAAUGUAUAAAAAUGAAUUUCUUAUAGUUUAUGAAAUUUAAUUAUUUGAAAAGCAAAACUAACCAGAAACAGAUGCACCAUCUCAUUGCGGGUCAAUUCCAAAGUGGUUUCUCCAACAUGGUUGUUGUUAAGAAGUGAAUCUAACACAUCAUUGCACACCACAUAAUCAACUUUGGAAGAUCUUGAACUAAUUCUUUUUUCAAUAAUUCCAUCAAAAAUAUCACAUAACUUCUUCAUGUAACUGGUCAUCUUUGCAUGCACACCUUGUGGAUCAAAGGGACGAAGAAUUGGAAAGAAAUCUGAAACAUUAGGCUUACCAGCUUCUUCCAUGAAACUCCCAAUAAUUUUCUUAAACUCUUGAGACUUUUCAUCGGGUGUGGAAUGAGCCAAAUCAAUAGAGAACAAAGUAUUUGAAAUUGAAUUAAGAACAGUGUUAAAAACAGCCUCACCAAUAUCAAAAACCUCUCCUUUGUUGCUUUUUUCAUUCACAUAAUCUAAUAAUUCUUGCAACUUUUGUUGACGAAGGAUUUUUGUUGAGUCAAGCAUUUUUGUAGAAAAUACUUGUGUAGCACAAAUUUUCCUUAGUUUCUUCCACAAAGCUAAUGUUGGAAGUGUUCCUAUUGAGAAUUUGUGAUGAUCAAGUGCACAAAUUGCAUCCGAGACUACUCUAUUAGAGAAUAUUUGGGAAUUUUCUUGUAACACUUGUUUGGCUAGUUGUGGUGAUGAGAUUACUAUGGUUGUUAAUGUUCCUAGUUUUAAUGUCAUGAUUGGUCCAUAG